UACGGGGGGUGCGAGCGUUAAUCGGAAUAACUGGGCGUAAAGGGCAUGCAGGCGGCUCUGUAAGCGGGGUGUGAAAUACCGGGGCUUAACUCCGGGGCGGCAUUCCGGACUGCGGGGCUUGAGUAUCGCAGAGGGAGGCGGAAUUCCAGGUGUAACGGUGGAAUGCGUAGAUAUCUGGAAGAACACCGGUGGCGAAGGCGGCCUUCUGGGCGAAUACUGACGCUCAUAUGCGAAAGCGUGGGUAGCAAAC
rnacentral:rRNA from 1 species